UACGGAAGGGGCAAGCGUUGUUCGGAAUCAUUGGGCGUAAAGGGCGCGUAGGUGGUUCUGUAUGUCUACCGUGAAAGCGUACGGCUCAACCGUAUUUUGUCGGUGGAAACUGCAGGACUUUGAGGCUGGGAGGGGCUGGUGGAAUUCCCUGUGUAGCGGUGAAAUGCGUAGAUAGUGCGGAGGAACACCGAUGGCGAAGGCAAUCCCCUGGACCUGUACUGACGCUCAUGCACGAAAGCGUGGGGAGCAAACAGGG
rnacentral:rRNA from 1 species